ACAGCAGCAGCCGCGGUAAUACGAAGGGUGCAAGCGUUAAUCGGAAUUACUGGGCGUAAAGCGCGCGUAGGUGGUUUGGUAAGAUGGAUGUGAAAUCCCCGGGCUCAACCUGGGAACUGCAUCCAUAACUGCCUGACUAGAGUACGGUAGAGGGUGGUGGAAUUUCCUGUGUAGCGGUGAAAUGCGUAGAUAUAGGAAGGAACACCAGUGGCGAAGGCGACCACCUGGACUGAUACUGACACUGAGUUGCGAAAGCGUGGGGAGCAAACAGGAUUAGAUACCCCAGUAGUCUCUGUCUCUUAUAA
rnacentral:rRNA from 1 species